rnacentral:rRNA from 1 species
GACGAACGCUGGCGGCGUGCCUAAUACAUGCAAGUCGAGCGGUAAGGCCCUUUCGGGGGUACACGAGCGGCGAACGGGUGAGUAACACGUGGGUGACCUGCCUUUAGCUCUGGGAUAAGCCUGGGAAACCGGGUCUAAUACCGGAUAUGACUCCGCGGCGCAUGUUGUGGGGUGGAAAGCCUUGUGCGGCUGGAGAUGGGCCCGCGGCCUAUCAGCUUGUUGGUGGGGUGAUGGCCUACCAAGGCGACGACGGGUAGCCGGCCUGAGAGGGCGACCGGCCACACUGGGACUGAGACACGGCCCAGACUCCUACGGGAGGCAGCAGUGGGGAAUCUUGCGCAAUGGGCGAAAGCCUGACGCAGCGACGCCGCGUGA